rnacentral:rRNA from 1 species
GACGAACGCUGGCGGCGUGCUUAACACAUGCAAGUCGAACGAAGUGGCGAACGGGUGAGUAACGCGUAAUCAACCUGCCCUUCAGAGGGGGACAACAGUUGAAAACGACUGCUAAUACCGCAUACUGAAGGAGGGGAUUGCGUCCGAUUAGCGAGUUGGAGUGGUAACGGCCCCCCAAGGCGAUGAUCAGUAGCCGGUACGAGAGGAGUGACCGCCACAUGGGGACGGAGACACGGCCCAUAAUCCUACGGGAGGCAGCAGGGGGGAAUCUUCCGCAAGGGACGAAAGUCUGACGGAGCAACGCCGGGUGAGGGAGGACGGCCUUCGGGUUGUAAAGCUCUGUUAAUCGGGACGCGGUACCGGAAUAGAAAGCCACGGCUAACUACGUGCCAGCAGCCGCGGUAAUAC